UACGUAGGGUGCGAGCGUUGUCCGGAAUUAUUGGGCGUAAAGGGCGCGUAGGCGGCGCAACAAGUCACUUGUGAAAUCUCCGGGCUUAACCCGGAGCGGCCAAGUGAUACUGUCGUGCUAGAGUGCGGAAGGGGCUACUGGAAUUCUCGGUGUAGCGGUGAAAUGCGUAGAUAUCGAGAGGAACACCUGCGGCGAAGGCGGGUAGCUGGGCCGACACUGACGCUGAGGCGCGAAAGCCAGGGGAGCGAACGGG
rnacentral:rRNA from 1 species